GCUUGUUUGGCUCAGUGGGUAGAGUGUCAGCCUGCAGACUGAAGAGUACUGGGUUCGAUUCCAAUCAAAGGCA
rfam:Myotis lucifugus cont2.6342, whole genome shotgun sequence.